UAGUGAUAUGUAUAGUGGAGUGAUUUUGUGAGGUGAAGAAAGGAGUGAGACGAACAGUUUCACUAUUUGGAAUUUAUAUUGUAUUUUAGAAGAAAGAUGUACAGAUACAUACAAAAGUUGGCGUCAAAAGAUUAAGGCCUACUACUGCUGUCUGGCACUCAAGUCUAUGCAAAUAUCAACAUAUGAUUCAACCAAACAAUGAAACUGAUGUUUCCUGAGGAGAUGAAUGUAUCAACUAUUGUUCCUUUUUGUUUGUAUGUCAGUAAUGGAGACCUGCACAGGGAAGCAAUAGAGAGGAAACUUGGUAUUCAAGAAUUGUGGAGGGCUCUCAAGUUUCAGGUUUAUUAAGCAUCUCUAAGUAUAUGUUGUGGGGGUGGAAGACUCGGUGAAAUUGGCUACCCAUACACCAAAAUGUGUCCAUAAUCUUGUGGAAAAAUGUCUGUAAAUUGUGGUAACAGUGUUUCCAGUGUGUCUGAUGGAGAAGGUGGAGAGAACCACUCUUCUGCAGAUAAUAGUCUCUGUGACAUGUACUUUUCUGAUACUGAGGUAUUGGUUGCAAGAGCAGCACAGCAAGAUGAUAUAUCCAAUUAUGAUUUGGACCAAGGGGAUUUCCAGUCUGCUUUUAGAAGAGAAUCUUGCCCAGAUAUUUCAACAGUGGAAUCACCACUGCAGGGGGAAGAUUUUCCAGACAACUCUCACUCAGCUAUGUCUACAGUAGAACAAGGCCUUGCCAAAGAUCAUUAUCAUGUUGUGUUUAAAGAAGGGCAGUUUACAAAUCCAGCUAGAACACGAAAAAUUAGGAGGAUUCGAAGAGGAAGACUCAGAGAAAGGAACUUAAAGUGGCCUUUGACACCUAGAUCACGGUCGUUUGAAAGAAAACAACCAGUUAGCAGCUCAAGGAAGCAAAAACUUAUUCUCUUUUGUCUGUGUCUAGUUAAUUUUACAUCUUUUUUGAGUAUGUCAAUCAUUGCUCCAUUUUUUCCACAAGAGGCUUCAGCAAAAGGAAUGAGAGAAGCAGUCAGUGGAUUUGUCUUCAGUGUUUAUGCUUUGGUCAUAAUGGUAACCUCACCUGUGAUUGCUAAGGCUCUUCCUAUUGUUGGAGUGAAAUUUACUUUUCUAACUGGAGUAUUUUUUUCUGGAGUCAGCAACAUUCUCUUUGGGUUGUUAGUAUUGGUGGAAAGUAACAUUGUUUUUCAAGUGUUCUGUUUUGUGGUCCGGUCAUUUGAAGCUCUUGGCGCAGCUGCUUUUACUACUGCUUCAUACACAAUUAUUCUUGAAAUGUUUCCAGAUGAUGUUGGAACAGUGUUUGGUUUCACGGAGACUUUUGUUGGAGUCGGAUUGUGUUUAGGUCCUGUUAUUGGGGGAGGUCUGUAUAGUCUUGGAGGUUAUGGCUUACCUUUCUACAUCCUAGGAUCUCUUGUCAUAGUGAAUAUUCCUGUCUGCUGGUAUGUAAUGGGAGAUUUGCCAGGUAGCAAUAAAACCAUAAAGUCGGAGUCGUAUAAAAAUUUACUGACGAUCCCUUCAGUAAUAGCUGUAUGUGUAGUGAUCAUUGUCUCUUCACAGUCUCAAGGAUUUCUGGACCCAACACUUGAACCUCAUGUUCGUCAGUUUGGGAUAAAGGCUGAUAUGGUUGGAGUCCUUUUUUUAGUGAUGUCUGCUGCUUUUUCUUUGUUUGCACCAUUUGUAGGCUGGCUGUCUGGAAAAAUGGAUAACAAGUAUCCAGUGAUGGUGAUUGGGUUGGUGCUGAUGACAGGGGCUUUGUUAUUUAUGGGUCCAUCUCCAUUCUUACCACUUAAGAGCACUUUGUGGUUGAGUAUCGUGUCCAUAGUUCUGCUUGGUGUCUCUUCAGCAUUAGCAUAUGUUCCAACAUUCGAAUGCCUUCUUCAAGCUGCAGUCAAUGGGGGGCUUGAAGAUGACAUGGGAACCUACAGUGUAGUUUGUGGUCUUUGGGGUACAAUGUAUUCUCUUGGGGAAUUUAUGGGUCCAUCUCUAGGAGGAGUGCUCUCGGAUCUUUUGGAUUUUCCAUUAGCAGCAUCCGUUAUGGGUGUAUGUUCAGGAAUUACUGCUAUCAUAGCUACUCUACCAUGGAUAUUCUGUAAAGAUAACAGUACGCAACUAGUCGUUGUUGAACCAGACAGUAGCAUUAGUGAAAUUAUGACAGAAGAGGAAAAUACCUUGUUGCAAGUUCCUGAAGAUCAAUCAAAGAAUUAUGGAUCUAUAUAAGAUUAAGAUGUGUUUCAGAAAAGAAGUUGUUAGGUUUUUAAAAGAAGAUUUGGGUUUUUCACUGAAAUAUAUUAUUCACAAUAGUUUUAAGAGGUUCCGAGUCUUUCGAGAAGGGAAUAUUAAAGAAUAAAAUGGAUGAGACACGAGAAGGGAUAAUGGUUUCAAUUACGAAGUGUGAACUGUGAAGUGUUGAUAAUCUUUCAUUUGAUUAUAUAUUAGGUGACUAUUAAUGGAUACUAAGAAGGUCGUAAUGUGAUGUAUAAAGUUUUUUGUAUUGAACAUCAUUAAGAAAAGUAGGAAAUUGACUUACAGCAUCGGUGAAUAAAGAUCAAAAAUUUUUUUUCUGUUAUCUUACAGAUGUGAAUAUGUUUAGGAGCAUUUCAACAAACUUUCUACAUUUUUAUAAAACCCUUUAACAGCCAGUGCUGAAAACUUGAAUAGUUGUUAGUGACAUGUGUGUGUGUAUGUGUGUGUGUGUGUGUG
rnacentral:misc_RNA from 1 species